AUUAGGAGCCUACAGCUUAAUUUAACUUAACAUAGGGAAACUCACUAGGUCUAGAUAUAAUAAGGAUUAAUAGAUUAAGAGCUCUUUUUUUAAUUUUAUAAGUAGUAGUAUAUAGCCGUUCUUAGUUAGUAGAGUAAUUUAUCUGCUUAAUUGCAAUAACGAAUAAGACCUUAAUCUACUAAAUAGCCUAUAUUACUUUAGUAGUAUACCGGCUUUUUAAAGAGACUAUCGGCUUAAGCUAAUAGAAGUUUAAGGUAAUAAUAGGUCUAUAAUGCCUUUAGAUAUUCUAAGCUAUAUAUAUACUAUACUAAUAGAGCUAGCGAGUAUUCUUUUAGCUAAAAGGCCUAAGUAAUCUUAUUAAACUCUAUCGUAUUAAGGAUAAAGUAUUAUAAUUAUUACUCUUUAAUAAAGAAUCCCUAGUAAAUAUAAAUCAUCAGCUUAUAUUAAUUAUAUCCC
rfam:Villosiclava virens strain TV-8b Sca_37, whole genome shotgun sequence.